AUUUCAAUUUGAUGAGAAAAACUGCAACAAUAUGAUAGGAUAUAUAACAUUUCCAUGAUUCGUUGUAUUUAAGUCUCUGAAUGAUU